UUUCUAAUUUGGGAGUACAAUUUCCAUUUUAGUGUCUCCUUCACCUCCACCAUUUUAUUCUCCAUUUUUUUAUUUACACUUCUUUCAUAUAGUAUGAACCCAAUCAUCUCUGUUAUCUAUGUUUCCCAAUAGCAGUAGUAAUUUAAUGAUACAAUGAACCCAACUUCCUAAUAUUGCUACUCUCAACACGCACCCAAGGUAUAACCUGCUGGUCACUAGUCAAUGAAAUGGGUAAGGCCAUUGGAAACCAGGAUUAAAAUCCUAGAAGAGACAGAGACAGUAGGUAAUUGCUUUCGGUCUGCCUAAGUCUCAGUGGACCGUUACCUGAUCAAUUAGCCAAGAUCUGUGCAGGCUGAGCUGAAACCAUUUUUACAAAGAAAACAAGAUAUUGUUAUUCUCUUCUUGUGGAUUAAAAUGCGAUACACUAUUUGGUCCUUUCAUAUUUAGCUACACCUGUCUGAAAGAUUUUACAUUUGUUCGUUAUAUAUGUGGUACUGGAUAUUUGCUGCAAAGGUUGUGCAAUGGCUAAUCCUGAACUGGUACUGAAGAGGAAAAGAGAUUCCAAUUUCUGAAUGCACCAUUUAUGAGCUUGUGGAGGAGUGACCAACAUCAAAUCGAUGAAGAGGUGAAUAAUUUCUCGUGUAAAAGUAUAUUGAUAUAUUUGAGUAAAAUGAUGUUUCCUGAUUUUGAAUGAUAUUGUUGAACCUUAU